rnacentral:rRNA from 1 species
GUGAGGAAUAUUGGUCAAUGGGCGAGAGCCUGAACCAGCCAAGUCGCGUGAAGGAAGAAGGAUCUAUGGUUCGUAAACUUCUUUUGCAGGGGAAUAAAGUGCGGGACGUGUCCUGUUUUGUAUGUACCCUGAGAAUAAGGAUCGGCUAACUCCGUGCCAGCAGCCGCGGUAAUACGGAGGAUCCGAGCGUUAUCCGGAUUUAUUGGGUUUAAAGGGUGCGCAGGCGGGUUGAUAAGUCAGCGGUGAAAGUUUGCAGCUUAACUGUAAAAUUGCCGUUGAAACUGUCGAUCUUGAGUGCAAAUGAGGUAAGCGGAAUGUGUUGUGUAGCGGUGAAAUGCUUAGAUAUAACACAGAACACCGAUUGCGAAGGCAGCUUACUGGGAUGCAACUGACGCUCAUGCACGAAAGCGUGGGGAUCAAACAGGAUUAGAAACCCUGGUAGUCC